rnacentral:tRNA from 1 species
UUUUUGUUAGUAUAGGAGUACGUUUGAUUUCCAAUCAAAAGGAUUGUGUAGACACAAACAAAAUU